AAAAUGGCAAGACUUUCCUGAAACAACAUUUAGUAUUUGUUUUUAAAACAAACCCCUGGGUUUAUUUUGUAAAAUCUCAUGAAUUUUUUUAUUCAUCUCAUAUCCUUUUUAGGGCUGCUCUAUGCCAAAGGAAAUAAGAUUAAGGCAACGCAGGAAGAGUUCUGGUUCGCAAUAAGGCACAAUGGAUAUAUCUUGUGUGGGAUUUGAAAGGAAGAAUAGAAAAAUCUACAUGAGUACUCUUGGGGGAACAGAAUUACAUUGCCUCUCCGUGGACUCCUGGCUGUACAUUCUCCAAUAAGCAGUCUUGGUGACCCACUGGAAUGUGCCCUUUCAGCUACUGUCAUUAAUGGAUCUGAGCGAUUUCACUUCUAUAGCGAUUACAUCGUGAGAGCACUGGCCCUAUAAAGCCAAGAAGGAAUGAAAAGAGGCUAAGACAAAAAAUAAACUUCAGAUUUUGCAACAUGAUAGUCUGAAAGACAGGCCAACACAGGCAGCUCUUUGGAAACAAGAGACCUGGUGCUUCCAACGGCCAAAAAGCUGGCCAAACACCAGCAACAAGGGAAAGACACGUCAGGUAGGUUCUGCUGAUUUCCCAGGCCUCCUUUAAUUCUUUUACAGAGGACUUCUUUUAACAAAUUAUUAACACUAUUUUGUUCUGAUGGUUCAUCUGUGUUUCUGUUAACCAUACUCUCCUGGAAGAGACUUUGGCCAUCUGGAUGUGGUUUUUGUUUCUGUGAGAAAGGAAUUUUGUGUCCUUGACAUGUCCCUAGUAUAAAUGAAUGUUUAAUAAGGAAAGCAUGGAUCAAGAUGGUAUAUGUUUCCAGGUUAGUUUAGAACAACUACUAUGAGUUAUUUAGUGCAUACAAUUAAGCAUGAAAGCAUGAAAAAUACAUUUAUUAAAAAAUAUUUAUGGGACACUCCAGAAUAACUUGAUAGUUUGGGACAAUCACAUGACCUUCUGCACAUAACAUGGUCAUCCUUGGGUUAAAAAAGGCAACUAAAUUCAAAUUUACACACUAUAUACUAGUGUGAAUUUUACUUUCAAGAGAUCUUGAUAAGCUUGUUUCAUUAUUAAAAAACUAGGAAUUUAAGAUAUAGAUUUGCAGCAAACUAUAACAAACGACAAGCUAAAGGCUAAAUCAACUCAAGGAAUAAUGUUUGAAGUGCAUAUACGUUUUCUGGUUUUCACUCUUUACUGCACUGACAAUUUCUAUGUCAUCAUUAGUCCCCAAAUAUUAGUAAGUAUCUUAUCUGGCCAGUGAGUUUUGUUUUUCUUCUGAAUUUUAAAGUUGAAGAGCCAGUGAGGUAUUUUCUCAUAAGUUAAAUCAAAU